GCCAGCCCGCUCAAGAAACUUAAGGAAUUGACGGGGCCCGCACAAGCGGUGGAGCAUGUGGUUUAAUUCGAUGCAACGCGAAGAACCUUACCUGGUCUUGACAUCCCGGAGACCCUUAGGAAACUAGGGGGUGCUUCCAUCUGGAAGAAUCUGGAGACAGGUGCUGCAUGGCUGUCGUCAGCUCGUGUCGUGAGAUGUUGGGUUAAGUCCCGCAACGAGCGCAACCCUUGCCUUUAGUUGCCAGCAGUUCGGCUGGGCACUCUAAAGGGACUGCCGGUGUUAAACCGGAGGAAGGUGGGGAUGACGUCAAGUCUUCAUGGCCUUUAUGACCAGGGCUACACACGUACUACAAUGGCCGAUACAAAGGGCAGCGACACUGCGAGGUGAAGCCAAUCCCGUAAAAUCGGUCUCAGUCCGGAUUGGAGUCUGCAACUCGACUCCAUGAAGUUGGAAUCGCUAGUAAUCGUGGAUCAGCAUGCCACGGUGAAUACGUUCCCGGGCCUU
rnacentral:rRNA from 1 species